rnacentral:rRNA from 1 species
UACGGAGGAUCCGAGCAUUAUCCGGAUUUAUUGGGUUUAAAGGGUGCGCAGGCGGGAGAUUAAGUCGGCGGUGAAAUUUUGCAGCUCAACUGUAAAAGUGCCUUCGAAACUGGUUUCCUUGAGUGUAGAUGAAGUAGGCGGAAUGCGUCGUGUAGCGGCGAAAUGCUUAGAUAUGACGCAGAACUCCGAUUGCGAAGGCAGCUUACUGGGAUGCAACUGACGCUGAGGCACGAAAGCGUGGGUAUCAAACAGGAUUAGA